rnacentral:rRNA from 1 species
AUACGUAUGGGGCGAGCGUUGUCCGGAAUGAUUGGGCGUAAAGGGUACGUAGGCGGUUAAUUAAGUCGAGUGUGAAAGGUUGGGGCUCAACCCCAUAAAGCAUUCGAAACUGGUUAACUUGAGAUGUGGAGAGGAAAGUGGAAUUCCUAGUGUAGCGGUGACAUGCGUAGAUAUUAGGAGAAAUACCAGUAGAGAAGGCGCCUUUUUGGACACAAACUGACGCUGAGGUGCGAAAGCGUGGGGAGCAAACAGGAUUAGAUCCCCUGUUAGUCCACGCCGUAAACGAUGAAUGCUAGGUGUCGGGGGUCAAACCUCGGUGCCGCCGCUAACGCAUUAAGCAUUCCGCCUGGGGAGUACGCACGCAAGUGUGAAACUCAAAGGAAUUGACGGGG